GAAAGGGUACGCGGGGCCGUGCGCACCGAGUUCGUCAUAGACGGGCCGAUCAUCCUGACAGCUCUUCUACUCUCUCGUCGCCGGCGUGGCGCGCCGUUCUCGAGCGAGCCACCGAUCCUCAGAUUAUCUCCGUCUCUCCGAGCUGCAACAGCGCCGACGACGCCAGCAUCCGGAGAAAAAAAGCGAAUAACGAUCGUCGUCACCAUCACAGUCGUCGUCGUCGUCAUCGUUAGCGUCCUCGCUAAGUAAGCCGGACGGGAAGUUUGCAUUCGACUGUUUGCACGAACGAACCGAGAGAUAGACGCGCGGCGAAGCGCGAGCGCGCCCACGACAGAAAGAGUAGGAGAGAGAGAGAGAGAGAGAGA